rnacentral:lncRNA from 1 species
AGAUCCCAAGAAAGAGCUAGAGAAUUUGGCAACAUCUUUGGAACAUUACAAAUUUAUUGUUGAUUACUGUGAAACUCACCCCGAGGCUGCCCAGGAAAUAGAGGUUGAGUUAGAACUUAGUAAAGAGAUGGUCAGUCUCCUCCCAACAAAAAUGGAGAGGUUCAGAGCCAAGAUGGCCCUGACCUAAGCCUUGGUCAAAGGAAAGAGACGUGCAGCUUGAAGCCACUCCCCUCCCCUAUAGCAAAUGAGGCCCAGCCCCACAGUCACCUUCGCCAGGGCCAGAGGGAUGCACUCUGGGCUCCAGAAGCAGGCAGGUACCCGAGUCUAUGCUAGGACCUUAAGCACCAUAAAUUAAUAAUUUAUACCUAAUUAUGUAAGUUGCCUUGCUAAAGUGACAGGUGUUUUGCAUUUUCGAUCGCUUGUUUUCCUGUUUAAGUAUAAACAUCUCCUGCCUAGAGUUCUAAAUGUUAAGUCCUUGCUGACAGUACUUGUUAGAUUUCAUACUAGGAACAACACUGGGUAGUGUACCUGGUAGAAGAGCCUGUUGCUGUGUUGAAUGUGAGAAAGUCACUUCAGAUGUCAUUCUUUGUAAAAUACUUACUUUCUUAAACUCCAAAUAAAUCUUUCCCUUUUGAAAAU